CUCCUCCGGUGGGGGCAAGAGAGAGAGAGAGAGAGAGAGAGAGAGAGAGAGAGAGACGACAACAGCGAUGGCCUCGCUGGGGCGGAUGGCGAUGCUGCUGGUUCUCGCGGGGAUUCUGGUCUCCGCUUCUCCGGCGGCGGAGGAAGGAGUACUCAGGAUGAAGAGUUCUGAUGGCGGUUAUUCUUACAACCAUACUCUUGCUCAUAUUCUUGUCGAAUAUGCAUCCGCUGUUUAUACAUCUGACUUAACAUCACUUUUCACAUGGACCUGUCCAAGGUGCGAAGGUCACACAAAGGGUUUUGAGAUGAUAGAGAUAAUUGUAGAUGUGGAGAACUGCUUACAGGCAUUUGUUGGAGUAGCCCCUGAUCCGCGAUCCAUAAUCAUUGCGUUUAGAGGCACUCAACAACACAGUGUCUCCAACUGGAUUGAAGAUCUCUUCUGGAAGCAGCUCGAUGUGAUUUAUCCAGGCAUGCCUGAUGCAAUGGUCCAUCAUGGAUUUUAUUCGGCAUAUUAUAAUACAACUCUGCGGCAUGAGAUCUUGAAAUCUAUUCAAUGGGCAAGGAAAACAUAUGGAACACUACCCAUAAAUGUUGUGGGUCACUCCAUGGGAGGUGCUUUAGCUUCAUUCUGUGCCCUUGAUCUUUCUGUUAAGUUUGGAUCACAAGAAGUUGAGCUCAUGACUUUUGGACAGCCUCGGGUAGGGAAUCCUGCUUUUGCUUCAUACUUCAGUGAACAAGUCCCAAGAACAAUCCGUGUGACCCAUCAGAAUGAUGUUGUGCCACAUUUACCACCGUAUUAUUAUUACCUAGGUGAAUGGACAUAUCAUCAUUUUGCCAGAGAGGUUUGGCUUCAUGAGACCAUAGAAGGAAAUGUAGUUACCAGAAAUGAGACAAUCUGUGAUGAUUCUGGUGAGGACCCAACCUGCAGCAGAUCGGUCUAUGGGAUAAGUGUAGCAGAUCAUCUUGAGUACUACGGCGUCACACUACAUGCUGAUUCAAGGGGAACCUGUCAAUUUGUGAUUGGUGCAGCCAACUCAGCAUACAGUUACAUUCGUGAAGUUGAUGGAACCAUCAUCUUGUCAAGAUAUCUGCAAGAACCACGUGCCCUAGAAUCUAUGUAACUUUUUAUGCCAGGAAAAUACACCCUUGUACAGUAUUUUGUUUUCAUUUUGUGUAUAAUUCAUGAAAUGUAGACAUGCUGGGUGCUCAAGGAGCUCUCCUGAGGAUAAGGAGAGGCUCACCUUUUAAAUGUGCCCCCUUUGCUCAAGUGAGAAUUGCACAUAUAUGCAUUCGCAGAUCAAAGAAUGUAGCCCAUUGCAUACAAGAGGAGCCAAGAACUGAUCAAACUCAGGGAAGAAUCUCAAGAUGCAAAGUUCUACAGAUGGUCAGCACUGCCAAGGCAGAUCUUGAGGAUAAGGAUACAUAUCUAUCCAGAUAUUCUCCAUUACCAUCUGCUUGUCCUGAGGUUUGCAUCAUACAUAAGAAAAUGCAUCGGUGCAUGUCAACGGUGACUGUACCAUAGCAUCCCUUACACAGCAUGUGCUGAAGAUAUGUAAUGCAAGAUUGCACGGUCGGAUCUCCGCGCCAUACCAUAGCAUCCCUUACACAGCAUUGAUGAUGUGCUCAGGAAUUAUGGUGAAAAUCUUCAGAGGGAACAAGAUAUAGCAAAUUGCGCAGAUUUAUCUGAUAAGGUCUGGCUAAUGAUUUGAUCAGCAAUAAUGGCGAAACUAUUGAGAAACAAGAGAUUGCAAAUGGGGCAGAUUCUGCCGCUGCGGAUAAGGUCAGAAGAGAGAGUGACUGUGCGAGGGACUGAAUGAGACUGCAAGCUCUCUGUCUGAAGAUGCUAUUCUGAACAUGAAGAGGAGUCUGAUCCCACCUAUGGAAAGUGGCUGCUCUUAGCUGGAGGAAUGAGAUCCUUCUGUCAUACUGUCAUGUGACAAAGUGUGGUCGUGUUGUUGUCGGCGCCAUUUUCUUUUUUUAUGGACUUCUGUGUUUGGUCUGAACUCUCAGGUUAUCAGUGAUGCAGGGCAUGUUUCAGUUUUUCACAUAACUGAAGGGGAACAGUGGCAACUACUAGUUACACGAAGUUUCAGAUUGCAUUUUGUUGGCAUGCAUUGCACCCCAAGAGCAGAACAAAGUUGCAUUGUGCUCAUAACUUUGAGCUUAUCUCUACUAUGUUUACAUGUGUAAAUCAAUACUUUAACUGUAUGUGCAAGUGUUAAUACAUGUAUCUAUAUCCUUCCAAGACUGUGUGCUUAUAAACUGUAAGUCUGUAACCAACAA